GACGAACGCUGGCGGCGUGCCUAAUACAUGCAAGUCGAACGCAGUGGGGACGGGUGAGUAAAACGUGGGUAACCGCCCAUCAGCGGGGAUAACACUUGGAAACAGGCGCUAAACCCGUACGGAAGGAUGAACCCGCGGUGCUUUAGCUAGUGGGUGAGGUAACGGCUUACCAAGGCGACGAUGCAUAGCCGACCUGAGAGGGUGAUCAGCCACACUGGAACUGAGACACGGCCCAGACUCCUACGGGAGGCAGCAGUAGGGAAUCUUCGGCAAUGGACGAAAGCCUGACCGAGCAACGCCGCGUGAAUGAAGAAGGUUUUCGGAUCGUAAAACUCUGUUGUUAGAGAAGCGGUAUCUAACCAGAAAGCCACGGCUAACUACGUGCCAGCCGCCGCGGUAAUAC
rnacentral:rRNA from 1 species